rnacentral:lncRNA from 1 species
UUUGGUAGUUUGAAUUUAAAAAAAAAUGUGUAUGGAUCUUCUGACUACAAGUACAUAUGUUUUGACAUCUUUUUAAGUUUCUUGAUUCUUUGGUUAAAAAAUAUUUUUUAUGGUGUUCUAGUUUAAAAGGUAAGAAAUGAAGUAAAUAUAUCCCGAUAUAUCAGAAAGGUUGUCAUUCUUCAUUUAGAAGCCACAUUGAGUAACUAGAUUUGCUUUUGUUCCUCAGUAAAAGUGCCUUAAUUUAUUUUAUUGAAAGUGAGAGAAAAUGAACUUGGAUCUUCUGACUGCAAGUAAAUAUGUUUUGGUAUCUUUUUAAGUUUCUUCUUUCUUUCCUUAAAAAAUAAUUUUUUAUGGUGUCCCGGUUUGAAAGGUAAGAAAAGAAGUAAAUAUGUCGCGAUGUAUCAAUUUGAAAGAAAAAGUUAUUUUAAUGACACUUUUUCUUGAAGAGUCGAGAAAUUUUCUUAUGUAAAGCUGAAACAAUUAGUGUGAAUAUAAAACAUGGAUGCUUGGUUAUUAGGAUAUUCAUCUUAUGUGAGAAAGGUUGUUCUUCUUCAUUUUAAAGCUACAUCGUGUAACUAGAUUUCCUUUUAUUCAUCGGUAAAAGUGUUUUUCUUUAUUUUAUUGAAAGUGAGAGGAAAUGAGCCUGGAUCUUCUGACUGGAAGUAAAUAUGUUUUGUAUCUUUUUAAGUUUCUUCCUCCUUUCCUUAAAAAAUAAUUUUUUUAUGGUGUCCCGGUUUGGAAGGUAAGAAAAGAAGUAAAUAUGUCGUGAUAUAUCAGUUUGAAAGAAAAAGUUACUUUAAUGACGUACUUUCUCUCGAAGAGUUGACAAAUUUUCUCACGUUGAGCUGAAAAAUUAGUGUGAACAUAAAACAUGGAUGCUUGGUUAUCGGAAUAUUCAUCUUAUGUGAGAAAGGUUGUCGUUCUUCAUUUUAAAGCUACAUCGGGUAACUAGAUUUGCUUUUGUUCAUCGGUAAAAGUGCUUUUAUUUAUUUUAUUGAAAGUGAAAGGAAAUUGGUUUAUUAUUUCAAAAGAAAUUUGCUUCCAUGUAAGGAAAAGUUUUUCGAUUUCUUUGGUGAAAGUAGAAUUCUGUGUCCGUCCGGUAGUUUGAACUUAAAAAAAAAUGUUUAUGGAUCUUCUGACUACAAAUAAAUAUGUUUUGACAUCUUCUUAAGUUUCUUGAUUCUUUCUGUAAAAAAUAAUUUUAUAUGGUGUCCCAUUUUGAAAGGUAAGGAAGUAAAUAUAUCUCGAUAUAUCAGUUUGUAAGAAAAAAGUUAUUUUGAUGACGCACUUUCUUUUAAAGAGUUGACAAAUUUUCUCACAUAGAGCUGAAAAAUUGAUGUGGACAUAAAACAUGGAUGCUUGGUUAUCAGGAUAUUCAUCGUAUGUGAGAAAGAUUGUUGUUCCUUGGUAAAAGUGACUUAAUUUAUUUUAUUGAAAGUGAGAGGAAAUGAGCCUGGAUCUUCUGACUGCAAGUAAAUAUGUUUUGGUAUCUUUUUAAGUUUCUUCCUUCUUUCCUUAAAAAAUAAUUUUUUAUGGUGUCCCGAUUUGAAAGGUAAGAAAAGAAGUAAAUAUGUUGCGAUAUAUCAGUUUGAAAGAAAAAGUUACUUUAAUGACGCACUUUCUCUUAAAGAGUUGGCAAAUUUUCUCACGUAGUGCUGAAAAAUUAGCGCGAACAUAAAAUAUGGAUGCUUGGUUAUCGGGAUAUUCAUCUUAUGUGAGAAAAGUUGUCGUUCUUUAUUUUAAAGUU